GGCAGGGCGAGGGCGUCCGGGAGAGAGGGGGCGGGUGGGGACCCGAGGGGAGCGGGGCGGAGUCCCAGGCUCCCUGCGCCUCUCGCGCCCGCAAUGUGCCGGUUCCCGGAGCCCAGGCCCGCACCCCGGGUACUUGAAGGCCCCCGGGCUCCGCCUUCACCACUUGGGCCCUGAGUUCCUCAGCGGCGCCUUCGUGGGCGACACGCGAUUCCUGAGCUUCCACAGCCGCGGCGAGAAUCAGAGCGUGAAGCCGCGGGGGCCGCGGGUGGAGAAGAUGGGACAGGGCUGUGGGCGCAGUGAGGAAAGUUCUCGAAGACCGCAGGGAAUGUGUUACUGAGGGGCCUGAGGUUCCUGGGCCGGCACCACCACCAGGGUCAGCCGGUGAGUGACCUCAGACUCCGGGCACAGGUGUCCCCCGCUCCGACCCCAGAGUGAUGGGCCCGGGUCUCCCAGGGAUGGGGGGCGGGGCCUCAGCUGAUCCCUCCCAGGUGGGGAAGCGCUGGGGACAUUUUGCUCCAGGUUUCUCCUUCAAUCUGGAUCAUGACCGACUUGUUCUGUGACCAAUGACAGAGGGAGGAAGGAGCUGGGGUGGGCGGGGAAACCUCCCUCCCCUCCCGGGCCCCGCCUCCGGCUCGCCCUGGGGCAGGUCCAGGGCACCGCACCUGCAGAUGCUGCUGCCUGGCUGGGUGGUGGCUCCGGACAGGAGCUUCCUCGGAGGACACUUUAAGUCCGCCUACGACAAGGAGAAUUCAUGUCCCUGAACGAGGACCUGCAGACCUGGACAGCGGCUCAAAGAGCAGCUUGGAGGAUCCAGCGCACUUGGGAGAGGUUCUGGACCGCGGAGGCCACAAGGGAAACCCCGAUGUGUCACUGCACUAGAUGGCUGCUCAGACACCUGGAGCAUGGCAAGGAGAUGAUGCUGCCGGCAGAAGAUAAAACACCAGGAAACGGAAUCAGCAGAGACACAGUGGAUGAAAGUACCACGAAGGACUGCUAGGUUCUAAUAGAAAGUAGCAGAUAGCCCCGUGGAGAUUCCCGCUGUGCAGCAAAGCCUGGGAGGGGCCCCUGGCUGUGGAAGGCAGGCUGAGACCUCAUAGGAACUUCCUUCUCUGGGAUCUCAAACUCCUAGACCAGCUGAGUACGUUGAGGGGAUGGGAAGCACCAACACCCCAUGUGGGUUACCAGAAGUGCUGGACAUUACCCAUCCUGAUAGGAUGUGAUCUUCAAGAUAAAACCCAGCUGCACCCUCAAGAGACCAUUCCACUGCUCUAUCCACUGGCAGCAUGUGUGAUGCAGUAUGGAGUAGAAC